rnacentral:rRNA from 1 species
GACGAACGCUGGCGGCGUGCUUAACACAUGCAAGUCGAACGGAAAGGCCCUGCUUUUGUGGGGUGCUCGAGUGGCGAACGGGUGAGUAACACGUGAGUAACCUGCCCUUGACUUUGGGAUAACUUCAGGAAACUGGGGCUAAUACCGGAUAGGAGCUCCUGCUGCAUGGUGGGGGUUGGAAAGUUUCGGCGGUUGGGGAUGGACUCGCGGCUUAUCAGCUUGGUGGUGGGGUAGUGGCUUACCAAGGCUUUGACGGGUAGCCGGCCUGAGAGGGUGACCGGCCACAUUGGGCCUGAGAUACGGCCCAGACUCGUACGGGAGGCAGCAGUGGAGAAUAUUGCACAAUAAGCGGAAGCCUGAUGCAGCAACGCCGCGUGCGGGAUGACGGCCUUCGGGUUGUAAACCGCUUUCGCCUGUGACGAAGCGUGAGUGACGGUAAUGGGUAAGGAAGCACCGGCUAACUACGUG